UAGGGAAUAUUGGACAAUGGAUGCAAGUCUGACCCAGCCAUGCCGCGUGCGGGAAGAAGGCCUUCGGGUUGUAAACCGCUUUUGUCAGGGAAGAAACGAGUUUCUCUCAUACAGAGACUUAAUGACGGUACCUGAAGAAUAAGCACCGGCUAACUACGUGCCAGCAGCCGCGGUAAUACGUAGGGUGCAAGCGUUAAUCGGAAUUACUGGGCGUAGAGCGAGCGCAGGCGGAAAUGCAAGACAGAGGUGAAAUCCCCGGGCUUAACCUGGUAACUGCCUUUGUGACUGCAGAGCUAGAGUACGGGAGAGGGGGAUGGAAUUCCGCGUGUAGCAGUGAAAUGCGUAGAUAUGCGGAGGAACACCGAUGGCGAAGGCAAUCCCCUGGACCGGUACUGACGCUCAGGCACGAAAGCGUGGGGAGCAAACA
rnacentral:rRNA from 1 species